GAUGAACGCUGGCGGCGUGCCUAUACAUGCAAGUCUAGCCAACAGACGAGGAUCUUUCUCCUAUGACGUUAGCGGCGGACCGGUUAGUUACCCGUUGAUAACCUUCCUAUAAGACUGGGAUAACUUCUUGAAACCGGAUCUUAUUCCGGCUUAUAUAUUUAACCCCCUGGUUUAAUAGUUAAAAGCUGUUUUUCUGUCACUUAUAGAUGAAUCCGCGUCGCAUUAGCUAGUUGGUAAGGUAACGGCUUACCAAGGCGAAGAUGCGUAGCCGACCUGAGAGGGUGAUCGGACAAACGGGAACGGAGAAACGGUCAAGACUCCUAGGGGAGGCAGAAGAAGGGAAUCUUCCGAAAUGAGCGAAAGCCUGACGGAGAAACGCCGCGUGAGGGAUGAAGGUCUUCGAAUCGAAAAACUCUGUUAUAAGGGAAGAACAAAUGUGGAAGUAACUACGCACGUAGUGACGGUAACUAAUCAGAAAGCCACGGCUAACUACGUG
rnacentral:rRNA from 1 species